ensembl:lncRNA
GAGAAAGCCGCCUUCGGCAAACCUCGGCUUGCUCCCGCCCUCUUCUUCCUCUGAGGCCUGGGCUCCUAGCGCCGCGACCCGUCAAGCCCUUCCGGUUGCUGCUUUUCCUCGCUCUCGAAUCCGGCCACUCCCGUUCCACUUUAGGGGUAGUCGUGCUCGGGAGCCUGCGUGAGGCGGGCCCUGGGGCCUCCUGGCUGCGCGGGGUGGGAGCCGCCUUCGGGAGGAGAACCGUGGGGCGCGAGGGACGCCAUCUCGGACUAAAUGCGGAGCGGCGGCAGCUGCGCGUGCGCCCAGAGGCGCAACGGCGGCGGGGGCGGGGUGCCCUCCGCGAGGCGGCCGCGGCCCCCGCCCCUCGGGCUCCUUGCGGGGGUCGGAAAGCCCCUAAUUGGGCGGCCCGGACGGUUUUCGCGGAGCCUCGACGGGCCGCGGCGGAAGUCGCCCUCAGUCGGCCGUGAGAACCCAGAGUCGCGGCCGGUGCUGUCACCGACUAGCGCGGAGCACACGCCUGUGGCUCAGGCCUGGGCACUGCAGACGUCCUGAGUUCAACUCCCAGCAACCACAUGAUGUCUUACAACCAUCUGUAAACCAUCUGUAAUGAAAUCUGAUGCCCUCUUCUGGUGUGUCUGAAAACAGCUAC